rnacentral:rRNA from 1 species
AUUGAACGCUGGCGGCAGGCCUAACACAUGCAAGUCGAGCGGAUGAAGUAGCUUGCUACUGAUUCAGCGGCGGACGGGUGAGUAAUGCCUAGGAAUCUGCCUGGUAGUGGGGGACAACGUUUCGAAAGGAACGCUAAUACCGCAUACGUCCUACGGGAGAAAGUGGGGGACCCUCGGGCCUCACGCUAUCAGAUGAGCCUAGGUCGGAUUAGCUAGUUGGUGGGGUAAUGGCUCACCAAGGCGACGAUCCGUAACUGGUCUGAGAGGAUGAUCAGUCACACUGGAACUGAGACACGGUCCAGACUCCUACGGGAGGCAGCAGUGGGGAAUAUUGGACAAUGGGCGAAAGCCUGAUCCAGCCAUGCCGCGUGUGUGAAGAAGGUCUUCGGAUUGUAAAGCACUUUAAGUUGGGAGGAAGGGUCGUAACCUAAUACGUUGCGAUUUUGACGUUACCAACAGAAUAAGCACCGGCUAACUUCGUGCCAGCAGCCGACGG